GUUGUAGAUCAGUGGUAGAACAGUUGCCUAGCAAGCAUGAGGCACUGGGUUCAAUCCUCUGCACCACA
rnacentral:tRNA from 1 species